rnacentral:rRNA from 1 species
AACGAACGCUGGCGGCAGGCCUAACACAUGCAAGUCGAGCGAGGACUUCGGUCCUAGCGGCGGACGGGUGAGUAACGCGUGGGAACGUGCCCUUUGCUUCGGAAUAGCCCUGGGAAACUGGGAGUAAUACCGGAUGAGCCCUUUGGGGGAAAGAUUUUUCGGCGAAGGAUCGGCCCGCGUUGGAUUAGGUAGUUGGUGGGGUAAUGGCCUACCAAGCCGACGAUCCAUAGCUGGUUUGAGAGGAUGAUCAGCCACACUGGGACUGAGACACGGCCCAGACUCCUACGGGAGGCAGCAGUGGGGAAUCUUAGACAAUGGGGGAAACCCUGAUCUAGCCAUGCCGCGUGAGCGAUGAAGGCCUUAGGGUUGUAAAGCUCUUUCAGCUGGGAAGAUAAUGACGGUACCAGCAGAAGAAGCCCCGGCUAACUCCGUG